AUUGAACGCUGGCGGCAGGCUUAACACAUGCAAGUCGAACGAUGAGUCUCUAGCUUGCUAGAGAUGAUUAGUGGCGGACGGGUGAGUAACAUUUAGGAAUCUACCUAGUAGUGGGGGAUAGCUCGGGGAAACUCGAAUUAAUACCGCAUACGACCUACGGGUGAAAGGGGGCGCAAGCUCUUGCUAUUAGAUGAGCCUAAAUCAGAUUAGCUAGUUGGUGGGGUAAAGGCCCACCAAGGCGACGAUCUGUAACUGGUCUGAGAGGAUGAUCAGUCACACCGGAACUGAGACACGGUCCGGACUCCUACGGGAGGCAGCAGUGGGGAAUAUUGGACAAUGGGGGCAACCCUGAUCCAGCCAUGCCGCGUGUGUGAAGAAGGCCUUUUGGUUGUAAAGCACUUUAAGCAGGGAGGAGAGGCUAAUGGUUAAUACCCAGUAGAUUAGACGUUACCUGCAGAAUAAGCACCGGCUAACUCUGUG
rnacentral:rRNA from 1 species